rnacentral:sRNA from 1 species
ACUUUCUCUUCCGCCGAAGCCGCUCCCCUUGCGAAGAACUGGGGCCUCCCGGGAGGAGAGAGGGCUUUGCCUUGAAACCCGGGACGCCAGGGGCGCUCCCGCAAGUGGGGGUCCUCCGGGACUUGGAACGCCCCGGCUGGGUGGUGUCCGGGCGUCCUUUCCCCGCUUCUUCCCACCUCGGCUGGUCCCGUUUCCUCCUGCGCCCAGUGCGGACCUGUCUCGGCGCCCGCUGCCCUCUCACCGCCCCACGCAGGAUCCCGGCCUGGUCACCGGGCAGUGUGAUGCUUCCCGACUGCCGCGGGGACAGCGAGGCACACACAGGGCUUGGGCCGCGCCGGAGGACACACGGCCUGGCUGAGUUGCUCCUGGUCUCCCGCCUCUCCCAGGCGACCCGGAGGUAGCAUUUCCCAGGAGGCACGGUCCCCCCCAGGGGGAUGGGCACAGCCACGCCAGAUGGACGAGAAGACCAAGAAAGCUCCUGAAAAUAAACCCUGUGCUAACUGGCUCCUGCUGUACUGGCUUUCAGCAGAGGAAAUGGCCCUGAGCCUCACCCGAGCAGUGGCGGGCGGGGAUGAACAGGUGGCAAUGAAGUGUGCCAUCUGGCUGGCAGAGCAACGGGUGCCCCUGAGUGUGCAACUGAAGCCUGAGGUCUCCCCAACGCAGGACAUCAGACUCCUCAUGGUGCAAAAUGGCCAUUCCAGCUCCAUCCAGCCAUCACAUCACAGGAGGAAGGGAAGAAAGACACCCCUCCACACUCUUCUAAAGAGCAUAGCUCAAAAAUUGUACACACUUCUUCCGUUAAUUCCUAUGGACCAGAACUGAUUCCCACAGCUACAGUUCAGCUUGAGGGGAGACUGUAUAGCCAAGAUAUUCAGCUAGAAUUCAGGGGUUCGCUUGGUAAGGGAAGGGAAGAGAAUGGAUACUGUCGGUCUGUGCUCCAGGAGACUUAAACUCAAUGCUGAAACACUUUGCACAAUGCCUGGCGUGUUAUGCACUCAAUAAACAUUAGUGUCUAUUGUUC